rnacentral:misc_RNA from 1 species
CACACACACACACACACACACACACACACCAAUGUGGUGGGUCACGUGACACGGUCGUAUCUGCGCCGUCUUGGGUGCCGACACUGUACGGUGCAUGUACUGUACUGUACCUGACACAAGGCCACAGGAGCGGGUAAGAAAAAAAAAGCUCAUUUGACGUCACACAGUUGCAGAUCCCCCUUUGCGCCCUGACUGUCCGUGCGGACGGUCUGUACAGCACAGUACCGUGGGCAACUCUACAGUGUCCUCCUCAGGAACCGCAAGCAUACAAUGGGUUUGUGAUGGGGGGUGCGCGAGUUCGUCUCGUACUGUUCCGUUGUGCGGCGGUUUGUCUGUUUUGGCGUUUGGGAUGAGUGGUGGAGCUAUCAUGGCAGACAUGAGCGUACGAACGAUGGGAUAGUGGCUUGGGGUACUUGUGUCGGGACGAGAUCUCUUCAGAUUGUCCGUGGUCCAUCUCAAGGCCGUGGAAAUCAGAACGUUGCAACAUCGCCAAACCGGUGAACGAACCGGUGAACGAACCGGUGAACGAACCGGUGAACGAACCGGUGAACGCCAAACCGGUGAACGCCCAUCCCGUAACGCCAUCCGCAAGUUCCAUCUGACAGUAUUGGACUUGAAAAAUGGACCACCUCACACUGCAAUGUCCGUGCGUGUCUCUGUUCAGCUCCAUUAAACUCCCCACGCUUCAUUGGCUCAACAUUCAUGGAUCGCCGAUCUGCCAACCAUGUGUCAGAUGGAAUGGAAAUGGCAACUGGAGGAGCAUGUGAAGGAAGAUGGAGAAGUCUUGUGGCGGCUUCGAGUUGCGUUAUUGAGACGCCGACGGUAAGACCUACGGCAGAUGAGCGGAGCAGAGACACCAAAGUGGACACCAAAGUGGACACCAAACACAAGACAUGUUUCACCGUCGCACCAUCCCAGAUACACUCGGUUCAGAACUCAGUCCGAAAAAAGCAUUGCAAGAUCUGAACCGUCCACCUCGUGCCUGAGUUGAUGAUUACUAAAAGACAGGCUCAGACGCGCUUUCACGUCACCUACUGUACUGUCCCCGUGGUACUGUACCUGAAAAGCACAUGGAUACUGUACUGUACGGCACCACUGCACAUGGCACGUGUUGCGACCCGCAACGGAAGGUGGUCACGUGAGAUCACUCCUUCGCCCCGCCCACACGUCGACCAUCAUUCCUUCAGUUGCUCCGGUUGCAUGCUUUUUUCCUACUCACUAACUGACUUUUUUGUCUGAUUUUUUGGCUUUUUCUGGAAACUGUUUACCGCCGUUGCCGAGGUAACUCAAGAACGGAAAGACGUGACAGAACGCACCCGGGAUGGCAAGACAAGUUGGUUACGUUAUCGGGGGGAUUGGGGCUGUGGGGCCUGACCACUGGACGGGUCGAGUGAUACCAUUCAUGUGACUGUGAUAUUUCUGAACAGUGAGAUGAAGAGUGGCCAGUUGACGUGUUUUGUUAAGAACUCUAAUUAGACGGUAUGAUAGUUGGCUUUUUAGUUAGGGCAGAGUUCACCGAACCUGACCGAUGUAGAUGUCGAAGCACAGGUGAUUAGUCAUAAAGUCAUGCAAAACUCCGCAAUCGAGCUGCUCUUUGGCUUGUAUCUUUGUUCUCCGGGGUAAGAACGCAUCCUGUCUUCUGUCUUGAAGAGAGGAGGUUGUAGAGAACUGGUAGGAGGGGGAAAUAUAGUGACUGAGGGGGUCAAAUUACUUGAAUAAAUAAAUAAUCUGCCUUUCU